AGUGGCUUUCGGAGCUAACGCGUUAAAUCGACCGCCUGGGGAUUACGGCAUCGCAAGGUUAAAACUCAAAUGAAUUGACGGGGGCCCGCACAAGCGGUGGAGCAUGUGGUUUAAUUCGAUGCAACGCGAAGAACCUUACCUACUCUUGACAUCCAGAGAACUUAGCAGAGAUGCUUUGGUGCCUUCGGGAACUCUGAGACAGGUGCUGCAUGGCUGUCGUCAGCUCGUGUUGUGAAAUGUUGGGUUAAGUCCCGCAACGAGCGCAACCCUUAUCCUUUGUUGCCAGCGAUUCGGUCGGGAACUCAAAGGAGACUGCCGGUGAUAAACCGGAGGAAGGUGGGGAUGACGUCAAGUCAUCAUGGCCCUUACGAGUAGGGCUACACACGUGCUACAAUGGCGUAUACAAAGAGAAGCGACCUCGCGAGAGCAAGCGGAACUCAUAAAGUACGUCGUAGUCCGGAUUGGAGUCUGCAACUCGACUCCAUGAAGUCGGAAUCGCUAGUAAUCGUAGAUCAGAAUGCUACGGUGAAUACGUUCCCGGGCCUUGUACACACCGCCCGUCACACCAUGGGAGUGGGUUGCAAAAGAAGUAGGUAGCUUAACCUUCGGGAGGGCGCUUACCACUUUGUGAUUCAUGACUGGGGUGAAGUCGUACAAGGGGAA
rnacentral:rRNA from 1 species